UUAUCAAAUUUUAUUUUUUUUUUUUCAUUUUUUGUACAAAUAUAUUAAAGCUGAUGUUAUCUUUAAAUCAGUAUUUAUGCCAAAAAUUCUUUUUGAAAAGGAGAACAAUGGUACUAAUUUCAUAUUGCUAUUUUUUCAUUUUUAUCAAUUAGAUAUUAUGGCGAGAAGUAGUGUUAUUGUAUGUCAGAAGAUUUUAUUCUACACUAUGGCCAUUGCCAUUCACAGAAAUCCUGUAGACUCUUAGAGAAUCAUGAAAAACCUAUAAAGGCGCAAGACCAACAAAACUUACAAUGUCAUAUGACUGUGAGAACUCUACAAUGUCAUGUGACUAUUGGAGCCAACAAUGGUCAUGUGAUUAAUAAAACCUGCAAUAUCAUGUGACUAUUUUCAUUUCAUAGUAUUGUACAUUUGAACUUAUAUUUAUUUUAUUCAGUUUGUAAUGGAUUUUAUAAAUGAUUAUUGUAACCAGUUAUUAAAUAAAAUAUUUUGAUUUU
rnacentral:misc_RNA from 1 species